rnacentral:rRNA from 1 species
AUGACACGGCGUGGCUGCGUGCAGGCGCGGGUGAUACCUGAGACGGACGCCGGGCUGGUGGAGUUCUUCCUGGACACGGACGCGCGGGAGAUCGAGAUCGAGAUCGGCAGGCUCCGCCCCAGGCUGAACAAGGCCUUCUUCGACCACAUCCAGCGGGAGAUCGCACAGAUCAAAUUCGCGGUCACCAGGACAGCGGCAAACGAAGACAGACUGAUCGAGCUGGAGGCCAUGCAGAAGGUCAUCGGGGAGGGAGUCGAGGCCUACGACAAGCUGCAAAACGACCUCGUGACGGCCAAGGAGCGGCUCACCAACAUCCUGCAAUCCAAAGAUAGGAAGAAAACGGUAGAAGAUAGCAACAGAGUGGUAAGGUUUGUGCAGAGAUCUUCUCCUCCGUCGCCAUCCGCGACAAAGCUACUGGGUGCAUCCGUCCAUCUUCAGAUCUGA